GUGCUCCCUUUAGCCACACGUAUACUAAAAUUGGAAUAAUACAGAGAAAAUUACCAUUACCCCUAUGCAGGAUGACAUACAAAUUCGUGAAGCAUUCCAUAUUUUA
rfam:Myotis davidii contig223039, whole genome shotgun sequence.